CUCAGUCCCUGGUCCCUGGAGAGGGGAUCUGGGUCUCUCUGCAUCCAGUGGGAGAGCCUGAAUAGACCUGCAGGAGAGACAAAUCUCGGACUGCUGAAUUUCUCCACUCUCAUGGCAUUGCCCAUCAAGAGGGAUUGCAGUUCUGAACAUGAUGGAUCAGAUGCAAUAUGAGGUGCUUCAUGUCUGCAGGCCUGUCCCAGAAAGCUGCUUACUUGGAUAAAGCUCUCAGGAGAUGCAAGAUGUUCAUCCCGAGGGAACCUCCACUGCCUCCUGGCCUAUCUGCCUGAUCCAUAGAUUUUUCUCCACCCUGAAGCUCUAGGUCUUCUCCAAAGCUAGUCCCUGAGCAAGCGCAGACUUCAGCAGGGGAAGGGAGAGCCAGAACAACUACAGAAAAAGAUUAGGGUCUCUUUCUAU
rnacentral:lncRNA from 1 species